rnacentral:lncRNA from 14 species
AUGAUAGUUUUUCCUGCUGUCCUUUCGUAAAGAUAGUAAAGGUGGUAAUACAGAAGUAAAAAAGAAAAUAAGUUAGUUUGAUAGUAAAGAUUGUAAUACAAAAAUAUAUAAAAAAGAUAAAUAUUAACUAGUUUGUAAUUUUAUAACUUCAAGAGAUACAUCAUGUUGGGCUGUGAUGUGCUUCAUCAGGCAUGUGAAGUCUGGAAAUUCAGUUGAGAGGUGUUAAUGAUCUCUGGGCUUUCUGCCUUCACAGAUAAACAUGGUACUGAUGGUAGAGAAUUUCAUCCCAGUUUGGCAAUUUCAUCAUUCAUAACGACAUAUAGUCCUAUUACGUAUGUGGGAACUACAUGGCAUGAAAAAUCCCUCUAAUGCUGGAGGAAUCUCACUGCUAUUGAAUUAAUUAUUGCAUGUCAAAAGGAACAGCAGAUAAACCAGUGUUCAGAUAGCUGAAAGUACUGAGCAGAAGUUGCAUGAGUUUUCUUACACAACUAAGAAAAGAAUCAAGUCAGUUGUGUUUAAAAUCUCACUGUAAUGAACUUUGCCAAUGUUUUGAGUACUGUUUUCAUGUAAGCAGUGUUUUUUUUUCUCUCCUGUAACAGUUAAUUUUAUCUAAAACUAAUUUGGUCUCUCUCAUCUGGUUUUGACAAGAGCAAUUAAACUUCCUUUCCUGUCAGAAGUAAAAAAGGAAGCUACUGACUUGCUGUUUCAGCCUGCUAGCUUCUUUUUGAUAUAAUCUCUUGUUGCAAGUUCCUUCUCCUAGACCCAGUAUUUCCAGGAUCAGGGCACGACACAGGGGCUCAGCAGUCAAAAAAAGGAAGGAAGUUACGGAACUGGAGCAGGGCACGUUUACAAGGAAGCCAUGUCCGAGGUAGGCCAGGCAUCGUCCCAACCGCCACAGCCCGACGGUGGAGUGACGUUCCUUCACCUCGGGCGGCCAUACCCGCGGCAGGGCUGAACUCCGCGUCCCCAGGACAGAACCGCCUUGGCUCCCCGCAGAUCAGCAGACGGGGCCCUGUACGGCCUGUGUCUGCAAACGUUGCUGCGCCGUUCAGUG